UACGGGGGGGGGCAAGCGUUGUUCGGAAUUACUGGGCGUAAAGGGCUCGUAGGCGGCCAACUAAUUCGGAUGUGAAAUCCCCAGGCCUAACCUGGGAACUGCAUCUGAUACUGGAUGGCUUGAAUCCGGGAGAGGGAUGCAGAAUUCCAGGUGUAGCGGUGAAAUGCGUAGAUAUCUGGAGGAAUACCGGUGGCGAAGGCGGCAUCCUGGACCGGCAUUGACGCUGAUGAGCGAAAGCUAGGGGAGCAAACGGG
rnacentral:rRNA from 1 species